GCAUUUCCUUAGCAUAUCCAAAACCUCAGAACAACUUGAUGUAACAAAAACUAUGGACUCUCUUUUUUUCUAGCAUUUUAAAUACAGUUGCUCCUUUACACUUAAGGAAAAUUAAGGAAAACAGUCUGACUCUGUGGUAUAAUGAGCACACUCGCACCCUAAAGAGAGCAGCCUGGAAAAUGGAGCGCAGCUGGAGGAAAACAAAACUAGAGGUAUUUCGUAUUGCUUGGUGGGAAAGUAACUUAUUCUACAGAAAAACAUUAAAAACUGCUAGAUUUGAUUACUUUUCGUCUCUUUUAGAAGAAAACAAACAUAACCCCAGGUAUUUAUUCAAUACAGUGGCUAAAUUAAUGAAAAAUAAAGCAUCAACAAGUGUUGACAUUUCCCAACAGCACAGCAGUAAUGACUUUAGGAACUACUUUACUUCUAAGAUCGAUACUAUUAGAGAUAAAACUGCAACCAUGCAUCCGUCAGCUACAGUAUCGCAUCAGACAGUGCACUAUAGAUCCCCUGAGAAACAGUUCCACUCAUUCUCUACUAUAGGAGAGGAAGAAUUGUAUAAACUUGUUAAAUCAUCUAAACCAACAACAUGUAUGUUAGACCCUAUUCCAUCUAAGCUCCUAAAAGAGGUGCUUCCAAAAGUCAUAGAUCCUCUUCUGACUAUUAUUAAUUCAUCAUUGUCAUUAGGAUAUGUCACCAAAACCUUCAAACUGGCUGUUAUUGAGCCUCUCAUCAAAAAAACACAACUAGACCCCAAAGAACUAGUUAAUUACAGACUGAUCUUGAAUCUCCCUUUUCUUUCCAAGAUACUAGAAAACUCCAGCUGGUCCAAAAUGCAGCAGCUAGAGUUCUUACUAGAACCAGGAAAUAUUACCAUAUUAGCCCGGUUGUGUCAGCACUGCCCUGGCUCCCUAUUAAACAUUGUAUAGAUUUUAAAAUCUUGCUUAUUACUUAUAAAGCCCUAAAUGGUUUAGCACCUCAGUAUUUGAACGAGCUCUUGAUACAUUAUAGUCCUCCAUGUCCGCUGCAUUCUCAAAACUCUGGCAAUUUGAUAAUACCUAGAAUAUCAAAGUAAACUGCGGGUGGC
ensembl:lncRNA